rnacentral:rRNA from 1 species
AUUGAACGCUGGCGGCAGGCCUAACACAUGCAAGUCGAGCGGAUGAAGGGAGCUUGCGCCUGGUUUCAGCGGCGGACGGGUGAGUAAUGCCUAGGAAUCUGCCUGGUAGUGGGGGAUAACGUCCUGAAACGGGCGCUAAUACCGCAUACGUCCUGAGGGUGAAAGUGGGGGAUCUUCGGACCUCACGCUCUCAGAUGAACCUAGGUCGGAUUAGCUAGUUGGUGGGGUAAGGGCCUACCAAGGCGACGAUCCGUAACUGGUCUGAGAGGAUGAUCAGUCACACUGGAACUGAGACACGGUCCAGACUCCUACGGGAGGCAGCAGUGGGGAAUAUUGGACAAUGGGCGAAAGCCUGAUCCAGCCAGGCCGCGUGUGUGAAGAAGGUCUUCGGAUUGUAAAGCCCUUUAAGUUGGGAGGAAGGGCAGUAAGUUGAUACCUUGCUGUUUUGACGGUACCAACAGAAUAAGCACCGGCUAACUUCGUG